rnacentral:rRNA from 1 species
AAUAGAUACCCCGGUAGUCCACGCCGUAAACGAUGAGUGCUAAGUGUUAGAGGGUUUCCGCCCUUUAGUGCUGCAGCUAACGCAUUAAGCACUCCGCCUGGGGAGUACGGUCGCAAGACUGAAACUCAAAGGAAUUGACGGGAGCCCGCACAAGCGGUGGAGCAUGUGGUUUAAUUCGAAGCAACGCGAAGAACCUUACCAGGUCUUGACAUCCCACUGACCGGUAUAGAGAUAUACCUUUCCCUUCGGGGACAGUGGUGACAGGUGGUGCAUGGUUGUCGUCAGCUCGUGUCGUGAGAUGUUGGGUUAAGUCCCGCAACGAGCGCAACCCUUGAUCUUAGUUGCCAGCAUUUAGUUGGGCACUCUAAGGUGACUGCCGGUGACAAACCGGAGGAAGGUGGGGAUGACGUCAAAUCAUCAUGCCCCUUAUGACCUGGGCUACACACGUGCUACAAUGGAUGGUACAAAGGGCUGCAAGACUGCGAAGUCAAGCCAAUCCCAUAAAACCAUUCUCAGUUCGGAUUGCAGG